AUUGAACGCUGGCGGCAUGCCUUACACAUGCAAGUCGAACGGCAGCACGGGAGCAAUCCUGGUGGCGAGUGGCGAACGGGUGAGUAAAAUAUCGGAACGUGCCCAGUCGUGGGGGAUAACGUAGCGAAAGUUACGCUAAUACCGCAUACGAUCUAUGGAUGAGAGCGGGGGAUCGCAAGACCUCGCGCGAUUGGAGCGGGCGAUAUCAGAUUAGGGAGUUGGUGGGGUAAAGGCUCACCAAGCCGACGAUCUGUAGCUGGUCUGAGAGGACGACCAGCCACACUGGGACUGAGACACGGCCCAGACUCCUACGGGAGGCAGCAGUGGGGAAUUUUGGACAAUGGGCGCAAGCCUGAUCCAGCCAUGCCGCGUGCAGGAUGAAGGCCUUCGGGUUGUAAACUGCUUUUGUACGGAACGAAAAGGUUUGGCCUAAUAAGCUGAGCUCAUGACGGUACCGUAAGAAUAAGCACCGGCUAACUACGUGCCAGCAGCCGCAGUAAGAC
rnacentral:rRNA from 1 species